rnacentral:snRNA from 1 species
GUGCUCACUUCGGCGGCAUAUAGACUAAAAUUGGAAUGAUACAGAGAAGAUUAGCAUAGCCCCUGCACAAGGAUGACAUGCAAAUUUGUGAAGCGUUCUGUAUUUUU